GUCACAGGGGCGGACCUUCGGUGGUCGGCGUCGCAGGACGGUCUAGCGCCUGCAGUGUGGCUGUUUUUUCGUCACAGUGGAGCCUAGCAGCCGCGUCUUCGCCGGUCCUGGGUGUUGCUGGCUGAAGAACGGCAGUUGACAAACUCCGACCCGGCACAGCGUUUGUGUCGGUAGAAAACUGUGUCCGGCCGCGGUGGCUCCCGCUUGUAGUCCCAGGGCUUUGGAAGGCCUAGGCGGAAGGAUCCCUGCAGGCCGGGAGUUCAAGAGCAGCGGGGCAACAUGGUGCGACCCCGUCUCUGUAUUCCCACCUGAGCCUCCCAGCUACUUGAACCCCAGGGUUCAAGGCUGCAAUGAGGUGUGGUCCCACCACAGCACUCCAGCCUGCGAGACUAAGAGAAAUGGAAUAAUCGUACUGCUGAUCUAUGUAAACAAGUGGAAGAAUUGUCUGAAAGAAAAUAUGGAUAAGAAAACUAAAGGAAAGAUGAGAUACCAAGACUAGGCAAAACCACGUAACUCAAAGUCAUACAAUCAAUAAAGGACAGAGCUAGGAUUUGAACCUGUGUCCAACUGACUCUAAAGCCUAUGCUUAGCCACUGUUACACUGUUUUAGUUUGUCUUCAUAAACACUGUUAAGUAUAUACAACAAGAACUAAGAGUAUGGAUGAAGACAGAACGACCUGGGUCCAUAUCCUGGCUCUACCAUGUUCCGGCUGUGGGAUGGAAGACAAAGCUCCUCAACCUCUGGGAGCCUCAAGUCCUUCACCUACAAAAUUGAGGUGCAUAAGGUACCCAUGGGUAAGCGUGAAAGGGUAAAUAUAAAAACUAAAUGAGAUAAGGCAUGCAGAGGGCUCAGCAUAGAGCCUGGCACAUAACAAAUGUUCAGCAGAUGUUGGAUGGUAUCACUACCAUCAUCAGCAUCUUCCCUGUUUUAUAGAUAAGAAAAUGGAGAUACAGAGAGAGGUUGUAUUUGAUGCAACAUUGCAAAACUAGUUAGUGUCAGUGAAAGACUUUUAAACACAAGUCUAGCCAGCUUCAAAGUAUCAAAACUUUUCCAUUUGCCGGGUGUCCCCUGAAAGCAUAAAAAGUACAUCGCAGGGGCCAGGCGUGGUGGCUCACGCCUGUAAUCCAAGCACUUUGGAAAUGAAGGCAGGCGGAUCACCUGAAGUCAGGAGUUCAAGACCAGCCUGACCAACAUGGUGAAACCCUGUCUUUUUAAAAAAAUUAAAAAAAAAAUAAGUACAUACCAGACAGAAGGAGGCCUUGGGGAGAUCUUCCUUAGGGAAAGAAAACCUGAACUAAAUCUUCAAAUACAACCAUGAGUUGGUCAGAUGAAGAAAUGAAGUGAGAGAAAUGAGUAUUGCAGGCAGAGGAAACAAUACAUCCAAAGGAACUGAUUAAACGGUGUGGCAAUAAUUGUAGCUACAAUUAUUUCAGUGUGGCUGGAGCCCAGGCUGUAGGGGCAAGUCAGUCUGGGUCCACAAAUGAAGCAAACAAAACAUAGCAUGAUUUUAAGCAGUGGUUCUCAAAGUGAAAUCAGGCCAGGAACAUUGGCAUCACCUGGAAACCUAUUGUAAGUGCAAAUUCUUGGGCCUAUCCCUGACCUCCUGAAUGAGAAACUUUAAGUCUUUUAAAGGUUCUCCAUGUGAUUAUGAUGAAUGGUUCAUAUUUUAAAAACAUGAAUUUAAGCAAUGAUGAAAUGUAACUACGUUUUCAAAAAACAACGAAAUAAUUCUUCAUUACGUAAUUCAGAAGAAGACCAAGGAGAAACCAUGAAUUCCUGUAUAAUAUCUGAAUGGGCAUCAACUAUAAUUCCCUUCAUGUGCCUAGGUUUGCUUUGACAGCAGUUAACCAAUUUAAUAGGUUACUCUACCUACAGAUCCAAUUUGCCCUACACUUCGUCUUGGCAAAAUACUCUGAACUAGGCUUACACUGUAAACC